rnacentral:misc_RNA from 1 species
GAUGAAGAACGCAGCGAAAUGCGAUAAGUAAUGUGAAUUGCAGAAUCCAGUGAAUCAUCGAAUCUUUGAACGCACAUUGCGCCCGCCAGUAUUCUGGCGGGCAUGCCUGUUCGAGCGUCAUUUCAACCAUCAAGCCCCGGGCUUGUGUUGGGGACCUGCGGCUGCCGCAGGCCCUGAAAUGCAGUGGCGGGCUCGCUGUCACUCCGAGCGUAGUAGUUACAUCUCGCUCUGGGCGUGCUGCGGGUUCCGGCCGUUAAAAGCCUUAUUUACCCAAGGUUGACCUCGGAUCAGGUAGGAAGACCCGCUGAACUUAAGCAUAUCAAUAAGCGGAGGA